GGCCAGACUCCUACGGGAGGCAGCAGUGGGGAAUAUUGCACAAUGGGGGAAACCCUGAUGCAGCAACGCCGCGUGAGUGAAGAAGUAUUUCGGUAUGUAAAGCUCUAUCAGCAGGGAAGAAAAUGACGGUACCUGAGUAAGAAGCCCCGGCUAACUACGUGCCAGCAGCCGCGGUAAUACGUAGGGGGCAAGCGUUAUCCGGAUUUACUGGGUGUAAAGGGAGCGUAGACGGCGAUACAAGUCUGAAGUGAAAGCCCGGGGCUCAACCCCGGGACUGCUUUGGAAACUGUGUUGCUGGAGUGCUGGAGAGGCAAGCGGAAUUCCUAGUGUAGCGGUGAAAUGCGUAGAUAUUAGGAGGAACACCAGUGGCGAAGGCGGCGUACUGGACUGUAACUGACGUUGAGGCUCGAAAGCGUGGGGAGCAAACAGGAUUAGAUACCCCCGUAGAU
rnacentral:rRNA from 1 species